ensembl:rRNA 5S_rRNA 5S ribosomal RNA
GUUUCCAACCAUACCACCCUGAAUGUGCCUGAUCUCCUCUGAUCUCGGAAGCUAAGCAGGGUCUGGCCUGGCUAGUACUUGGAUGGGAGAAAUUCAGAAUCUCAGACCUCUCAGACC